rnacentral:rRNA from 1 species
ACGCACGCUGGCGGCGUGCUUCACCCCUGCCAGUCGCACGGAAAGGCCUCUUUCGGGGGGUACUCGAGUGGCGAACGGGUGAGUAACACGUGAGUAACCUGCCCUUGACUUUGGGAUAACUUCAGGAAACUGGGGCUAAUACCGGAUAGGAGCUCCUGCUGCAUGGUGGGGGUUGGAAAGUUUCGGCGGUUGGGGAUGGACUCGCGGCUUAUCAGCUUGUUGGUGGGGUAGUGGCUUACCAAGGCUUUGACGGGUAGCCGGCCUGAGAGGGUGACCGGCCACAUUGGGACUGAGAUACGGCCCAGACUCCUACGGGAGGCAGCAGUGGGGAAUAUUGCACAAUGGGUGGAAGCCUGAUGCAGCAACGCCGUGUGCGGGAUGACGGCCUUCGGGUUGUAAACCGCUUUCGCUCAUGACGAAGCUUUGUGUGACGGUAGUGGGUAAAGAAGCACCGGCUAACUACGUG